AGUGAACCCUGGCGGUAGGCCUAACACAUGCAAGUCGAACGGCAGCACAGUAAGAGCUUGCUCUUACGGGUGGCGAGUGGCGGACGGGUGAGGAAUACAUCGGAAUCUACUUUUUCGUGGGGGAUAACGUAGGGAAACUUACGCUAAUACCGCAUACGACCUACGGGUGAAAGCAGGGGAUCUUCGGACCUUGCGCGAUUGAAUGAGCCGAUGUCGGAUUAGCUAGUUGGCGGGGUAAAGGCCCACCAAGGCGACGAUCCGUAGCUGGUCUGAGAGGAUGGUCACGCACCACUGAAACGAGAACCCGUCCCGGACCCCAAGGGAGGCCGCAAUUGGGAAUAAUUGAAAAAGGGGGCAAGCCUGGACCAGGCCAUCCGCGUUGGUGAAGGAAGGCCUCGGGUUGUAAAACCCCUUUUGUGGGAAAAAAAAGGCGCCAGUUUAAUCCCCGCUGUUCUGACGGUACCCAAAGAAUAAGCACCGGCUAACUUCGU
rnacentral:rRNA from 1 species